CUUGACAACGGAAAUCAUUUAUCGACUGCGCUUUGUCAUCGAUACACACGUGUUAUUUAAUAUCAUUCUAUAAAUCAUUGAAGAGAAAUAGAAUGGGUAACUGCCUUUGUAAAUGCAAAAGAAAUGAAGAGGAGGUGGACGAAUCGGCUGAGGAGAGGGAAAGCAGAGAACGUCGCCGGAAGGUUAUUGCCGACCUGGUGAAGCUCGCAGUGAACGACUAUGGACUUACCAGAGUAAUGGAAAAUGGAUUCGAGGCGUUGAACGAAGAAGAGCUAGACCUAUACUAUGAAAUGAGAGACGAGGCCGUUGGCGAAUAUGCAGAUGAUGUAAUAGAGGCGGAACUCCUCGUGCUAGAGUUCGAGGAACAAUCCGAAUCCGAAGAUGGUCUAGAUGAUGGCAUCAGGCCCGAAACCACGCCUCUCGACGUCAUGCCAGUGACAUCUUCAACGUCGGUGUACUUGGAAGUACUCCAAAUGGAUUCUGUUAUAAAUCGAUUCAAUUUCAUGACCACCUUUAUACCAAUACGUGGCCCAUAUGAGGAUAAUAACUACUUAUGCGAUUCCGACGGCUCGCCAAUUGUACUGUUAACACCACGUUGUCUAGCCGACGAUGCCGGUGAGGAUGCCUGGGUUCUGAUUAACUUCAGAAAUAUUAUUCCCGAGUCUGUAAGAAUACAGUCGCGUAUUGGCAGCGACGUGUCAUGCUACUCGAAUUCACACUAUUCUGAAACGAGCUCCGCUUAUUCAGAUACGAGUUCCACAGAUUCAGAUACGAGCCUCACAUAUUCAGAAACGAGCUCAAAUGACAGCGGCGAGGAGGUCUCUGUGAACCCUUGCCAUGCAUCUUAUUAUAGUCUUUGGAACCACAGAGUGCGAAGAAGCAUUUUUCUGUUGGAAGAAAAUCCAUUCUCUUGUAGAAUCUUAGACAGAAGCAUUCCUUCAUCUCUAAAUUCAUCUAGCAUCUCAACGUCUUCUAUCUCCCUCUGUGUUCCCGUUGAAAGUAAUUCUUCUCCUGAAGCAAAUAGCCAAAUAGAAAAUGAAAGUGCAUCAAAUUCUGACACUGAGGUUAAUAAAUUCAACUCUCUAAGUGAAGUUAAAGAAGAUAACGCGGCAAACACUGCGUGUUCCAACGAGGAUACGGAUGAGACUGUCGUUGACAACAGCUGUGCCUGGUUUUGGUGCAAGUCAGACAGAGAAGAGGCUACAACUGUCGUCGAAAACGCGAGUUCUGUACACACAGUGAAUACAGAAGAAACACAAAAGGCACCAGUUGCAGUUGAAUGUUACAAUACAUUCAGCAAGUCCAGAAAAUUCAAACGUUAAAGACGCGUUGACGGAUGUUAUUGUAGAACAAAGGAAACGCAACAGGUCAAACAUCUCUAAACUGUUUAAGAGAUUUUUGAGAAGAAAUUAAGGAGAAAACAAUAAAAUUAAAGAAAAAACAAACAAAUUAAAAAAAAGAAAACAAACUAUUUAGAUAAUUUUUUAAAAUAAAAUAAGAAGCAGGAAGCAGAAGCAGUUAGAUGCUUGAAUGGAUUAAUAUCUUUCAGUUUUCAGAAUGUUACGACUUUCUUGUUCUCUUUGUUCCUUUCCCAUGCAAAACUGUAUUGAAUAGCUUAAUAGUGCAUUAUCACUAAGUGAAUUACAGACUACGAGUGGCGUGUAAAAAUCGGUUGUUUACUACAACCUAACAAACCAGAAACUAGAUUUAAAGUACUUACAGUGCAUCCAAAAGUGAAUGUAUGAUAACCCGCGUAUUAGGCACGUGUUUUAAUCGGGAUUUUAAUUUUCUGUGGUGUCAUGAAAAGCAAUCCCCGACCACCAAAGUAAUAUUCAUUUUGCCGGAAGAAUACAUUUAACAUCAAAAAUCGCACGGCCAUGAUGCAGAUGACAUUCCUACCUUUGCUACAUCCUCCUACCCCGGAAAGGAUGCAUUCCCGAGCACCCCCGGACCCCCGGAAUAGUAGCCCGGGAACGGAACCGCCCAAUGCGUAUGCAAGACGAACAAUACCAACCAAAUACAUGCCAUAAGUUUCGGGAGUUGAUUGCGGCACCGAGACACAUGUCUUGAGGCACGGGUUCUCAUACGUCCCGCUGCCAUUAAAAAGGCGAAAUAUAAAAACGAGAAGUAUGGUUUCUUAUCCCACUCGCAAUACCUGCAUCGCUCAUUACUACCGAUUAUUGUUUGGAGAGCGCGUGAAGUCAUGUGCAUUUCUCUUGAUUGCUGGUUGUGGAUAAAACUUUACAACCGCCUGAGAUUUAACUACUGCCUAACAGUGUUGUACUUAUGCGAUACUUAUUUAAGGUUUUUGUCUGAUUGAAUUGUAUAAUAUUGCAAUAUUUACCUACCAAACAUGUUCAUGAGUUAAAUAAUAUAUCACCUCUUACAAAAAUGACCUAAUGCGAUUGGCUUAGAGCGGUCACGUGCCAAUGGUGUAUUUUCCAUACACCCCGAGUAAUUUCCAUACACCCGAGCAAUCGAGUAGUCGGUUGCGAUAUAAUCGUUACACAAGCAUUAACUGAUGGUGUAUGGGGUAUACACUAUUUCUUUUAUACCAUACGCGAGCUUCUCUCUCUUAUGGUAUGAAAUUACUGAGGGUGUAUAUCCCAUACACCAUCAGUUUAUAACAGUGUCACUUAAAAUACAUAUUUAGGCUUGUUGUUUUUUUUAAUUACGUUUUGUAUUGUUUCCGUUCUUUAGAUAGAAACCAUUGACGGUCACACACCAUUAUCAUUCAACAUUAUGGUUCUGUGUCACAUAUAAUGUUGCCUAAACAUGCGGGGGCAAAUAUCCACGUACAGACAGAUGAAAUUUAUUCAAGUAUAUUCAAAGAAAUCAACAGUGCAUCUUUACUGGUUGAUUUGUUAACGAGCUGUGUUUGUUAUAUAAUAUUCAUAUUUUACAGGUAAAAACAGCUAAUCAAUUUACAGUAACUUUAUAUUUAACCGAGUGUAUUCAUGUUUUUAAAUUAGUAAAUGAAAACUUUAAGUAUUUGUCUAUUCAAUCAACCGGAUUCAUAGUAUGUCGUGGAAACCACUCCAUGUGUAGACCGGUGAUUUAAAGUAAUUUUGUCAUUUUUGCAUUUUGAAAAUCGUCAGUGAUUUAGAAAUAAUCUGUAGCACCAGAUAUAUUCAAGGCAUAUACACUUUUCAAUAUGAACGCGACCUUUCCAUGGGGAUGUAAGAGACAAAACGAUAUUUUCCUAUCAUGUGUUAGUUUUUUUUAAAUUAUUUUUUACUGAAAAACAAUAUCCAUUAAUCUAUCGUGUUUUGCAUCUUUUAAUUUUAAGUUGAAGAAUCAAGAUGUAUAUUUUAAGAAAAUAAAAUACCGCAUUCAUGUCUAUAUAAGAUAAAGAGAGACUUGCAAAUUGUCGUGUUAGACUCAUUGGAAGAUAUGUGUGCUUUGCAGAUAUUGCCUCUUGUCUACUGAAUAUUUUAGGGAAGUUUAUAUUUGGAAAUAUAAUCAUUUCUAUAAUUUCAAUGUUAGCACACUUGUCAUUCUACUAUCAAUUAAUGUUUAAGAAGUUCAAUAUUCUUUUGUUUUCGGUCUCACAAAUAUGGUAUUUCAUGCGGGAUUGGUGGUGCGUCAAAAUCUUAAUAAAUAUGUAUGAGAAAAAAAAAUAUUCGAUUGAUGGACAAUGAUAAUAAUGUAAUUUGACAAAUAAUGUUGAUGAUGAUUUAACAGUAUUUUGAGAAUAAAUAAUCAUAUAUCUAUUCAUAACUCUGAGCAAAUGGCUUUAAUUACUACUGCAGCGAUGGCGAUCAACCAUUGGUAGAUGAACAGAGAGUAACAGUGAACACGGUGCGAUAUUGGUGUACCAACGAUGCUUGUGGUAACCGCCGAAGCCAGUGUUCUGUUUGAAUCGUCGGUCAACUGGGGAUGGCCGAUGCUCCGUGAACAAGGAAGCAUGUGUUCCGGACACUGUUGAUAUUAAUUCCUGGAUCAUUUCUGGACUUGAUGUAUGAAAAAAUCUGCGAAAAGAAAUAGUGAGAAAGUCUGUGAAAGCAAAAGAAAAGAAGCUGAAACGAAAGGAGGAAAGUGCUCGCUUAGCAAUAUCAGUGGCUAAAGUUGAUGCUGCAAAUAAGCUCGAGGAUCCUCUAUCCUUGCUGGAGCCUUUCAAGAAAUUU